GGUUUUCAAACAGAGAUCUGGACCCGAACGAGAGGUCAUUAGGUGAAUAAAACAAUAACAGAAUUAUUUUGGACUUUUAUCUAGAAUAUUCAGUGAGAUCUAGAGGCCGUUUUCUAGACUGAAACGCUCACUUGCUCACGAAGAUCCUGUGAUGCACCUUAAGUCUGAUCCUCUGUCAAGUUUCACCGUCAUACUUGUCUGUGGAUGUAAAUCUUCUGUGCACACAAACACGACCAGCCUCCUCUUCCUCUCCGUCUCCGUGUGUGGUCGUGUCAUUAUUAUUAAGAAACACAAAAGGGGUCAAAACUGUUCCAACAUUUAACAGGAUGAUUAUAAUUAUUAUUCCUUCAUUCAUGAUAUUUGUGAAGUCCACUGUUCUGUAUUCUUCAGUGUUUUCACUCUGUGGUUGGAGCACCUAUUAUCACUUUGAGUCCAGGCCCUGCAGACGACACAGUUGGACGGCUGCCUGGCCUCCUUUCAGUUCAAAUGUCUGUUAACAGCCGUCUCGUAAAGCCAGUGGUGAAAGUUUAUUGAUAGAGAGUUUAUCUGUGAGCAGAGUUUACGCAGCAGCCCGCAGUGAAAAGACAAAGAGACAAAGAGAGGGAGAGCGAGACAAAAGGAGCAGGCUUAAAUAUAAACCUGCUGCAUUUUUCUCUCAAAUGGAUUUCUGCAGAUAAAAAACUCAAACAUCUCUGUGGUUUUCUGCAGAUCUGUCCAGCUUCAAACUUGCAGUAUUUCUUUAUAUCAGCAGGGGGCGACAGGUCUGAAGUCUAUGUUACUAUAGUAUACUUCUCAGCUGUUCACAUUUACUGUCAAACUGGGCCGUCAGUGAAAUCAAAUGACCCGGGUUCUUCUUCUUCUUCCAGCUCUGCAGGUUUCAGAUGAAGUUCUUUGGUGAUGAAUCAGGAUCCAGAGUGUUGAAGGAUGAACAUGACGGAGCCUGAAGAAGAAGGAGAAGAAGAAGGAGGAGAAGAAGGAGGAGAAGGAGGAGGAGGAGAAGGAGGAGGAGGAUCUGAUCUCUGUUCAGUCAUGUCUGCAGGAGCCUGGAGGGCCCAAAACUCAGCAGAGAAGUCCUCACACAGGAAUGUAAAAAAAACACUUCAUUAUACACACACACACACACACACACACACACACACACAGGAUGAAAGAUGGCCGACCUGAAGCAGCUUCACUUUACUCAGAAUACAUGUUUACCUGACUCUCUCAGGGUUACUGUACAGACAGACAGACAGACGCUGAAUGUGCAACAGAAAUAUAAAGGACUUUUAUUUUGAAAAGAACCACAAUACCAAAAGAAAAACACAAUUUGAUGGUUUUUAUUUGAGUUUUAGACCAGAUUAAAGUUCUUUAACCAACUCUCUGUAGACCGUAGUGGACCCAGCAGACCAGGUUCUGGAGUCUGACAGUCAACUGUUCCAAUCCUAUCCUCUUUAUUUCUAUAUCGCAUUUUAAAAAACAUUCAAGUUUACCAAAGUGCUGCAAAAUAAAAUUAAAAGACCAAACAGAAAACAUCAAGAUGAAAUAAAAAAAGCAGGUAAAAAAACAUUUAAAAUGAAAUAAAAACACAAACGCAUAAAAGAAAUAAAAGUGAUAAAAGGACAGAGAUCACACAACUCUCAUUCUGAGCUAAGAGCCGAGGAAUAAAGAUGAGUUUUAAGAAGCGAUUUAAAGUAGAAAGAGUGGAGGGAUGUUUCAUCUUGAGUGGUGGAGUAAAGCUCGGUCGUCACGGGUUUUUAAACGAGUUUUAGGAACGACGAGUUGGAGCUGAUCAGCCAACCUCUAGAGUACAAAGAUUUAAGAGGUCAGAGACGUACUGUGGUGCUGAUCCGUUCAAAGAUUUAAAAACAAACAAUAACAUUUUAAAAUGAAUUCUAAAAUGGAUGUUUUGGUUUACCUGUUAAAAGACGAGCAGUAGAAUUUUAGACCAACUGUAAGUUUGUGAGAGAAACCUGAUAAACACCGACGUAAAGAGAGUUACAGUCGUCCAACCAAAGAGUGGAAAUAAAAACAGGAAGGACUCGUUAAAAAUCAUUCAAAGAUAAAACUGAUUUAAUCUGGGAGAAAAGCCUCAGAUGAUAAAAAACUGGAUUAAACAACAGAGCUGAUUUGUUGAUCCAAUUUAUAAUUAUUGUCAAAUUGUCAAAGAAUACCCUAAUCUACCCCAAACCAAACCCCUCAUUCCCACCAUGUAAUCUAAGUACAAUAGAAACGUGAAUUAAAAUGCUUGAACUUAAAAAAGAGCUCGAUUUCAUAUAAACAGGAAUGUGUACACUGAGGAAACACCGUUUUAAAACUCCAGAUAAGGAGGUUUAAAAUCUAAAAACAAAGAAAUAUAGAAUGAAAUUUAAGAAAUAAUAAGAUAAAAAAUAAGAUAAACUAAAAUAAGAGCUCCAAAAAAGCUCAUAAAAGACGAUCCUGUCAUUAAAGCUAGAAGAGAUAAAUGCUAAAACACUUAAAGGUAUGGAUAUAAAAUUUGGUUAAAAUCAAGACUAAAAAGGUUCGUUUUCAGUUUGGUUUUAAAAUCAUUGAGAUGAAGUUUUGUGUCUCUACAGUCCUUCUCUCUAACUCUCCUUUUCAUAGUCCUAACCCCGCAAACGUCUUCAGUCUGCACACAGUCCUGUCGUACUUCAGUGAAAGUCCUCAUGAGUUUGUCUGACACACAUCCAGAGAUGAGUCCUGACAUGACAUCAGAUCAGAGCCCCGGGACAAAGACAGUCAGUCAGACCUGCUGCCUGCUGCACGUUAUAAACAUGUAACAUUCAUCAGCUCAUCUGUGAUUGGCCGCCACAGAAAGAGCGGGAAAACAGCCCAUCCAAUCCGUGCCAAUGUGGGGAGUUUGAACCUGCAGGUUCACCUCAGUUUGAGUUCACAGGAGGUAGAUGAUUGCUUCAGAGAACAAGUCCCAGCUGUUACAGACAGCGGGUCUGACUGUACGAUCACUGCGAGCUACACAUCUGCAUAUAAACUGUACAUUAUUGAACACAUUUAAAGCCUUAAAGGGAUAUUCCGGUGUAAAAUUCAUUUAGGCUCAAACUCACUGAGUUAGACCCCCCCUCCAGAGAUGAAUGUUGUCGACCGCUUCCUUCUCUAGUUAUACCAACUUUAGUAACGACCGCAGGAUAGAAAUACAGAGAGCCACGCCCCCAACCAAAACGC